rnacentral:tRNA from 1 species
AGCCGCAGGCCAGCGGACAGUCCGAACUACCUUGACACGGUAGAGGUCACUGGUUCAAUCCCAGUAUCGCCCACCA